rnacentral:rRNA from 1 species
AUAUCUGAGCCAUCUCGGCGCCUCUCGUAGGCGUUUCGAAAAUGAAUCAAAACUUUCAACAACGGAUCUCUUGGUUCUGGCAUCGAUGAAGAACGCAGCGAAAUGCGAUAAGUAAUGUGAAUUGCAGAAUUCAGUGAAUCAUCGAAUCUUUGAACGCACAUUGCGCCCGCCAGUAUUCUGGCGGGCAUGCCUGUCCGAGCGUCAUU